AUCGAACGCUGGCGGCAGGCCUAACACAUGCAAGUCGAGCGAGCGGAGGACGGGUGCGUAAUGUCUGGGAAACUGCCUGAUGGAGGGGGAUAACUACUGGAAAAGACUGGUAAUAACGCAUACAAUCAGAUGUGCCCAGAUGGGAUGAGCUAGUAGGUGGGGUAACGGCUCAACUCGGCGACGACCCCUAGCUGGUCUGAGAGGAUGAACCGCCACACGGGAACUGUGACAUGGUCCAUACUCCGACGGUAGGCAGCAGUGGGGAAUAUUGCACAAUGGACGCAAGCCGGAUGCAGCCAUGCCGCGUGUGUGAAGAAGGCCUUCGGGUUGUAAAGCACUUUCAGCGGAGAGGCGUUACCCGCAGAAGAAGCACCGGCUAACUCCGUGCCAGCCGCCGCGGUAAUUC
rnacentral:rRNA from 1 species